AUUGAACGCUGGCGGCAUGCUUUACACAUGCAAGUCGAACGGCAGCGCGGGCUUCGGCCUGGCGGCGAGUGGCGAACGGGUGAGUAAUACAUCGGAACGUGCCCAGUAGUGGGGGAUAGCUCGGCGAAAGCCGGAUUAAUACCGCAUACGACCUGAGGGUGAAAGCGGGGGAUCUUCGGACCUCGCGCUAUUGGAGCGGCCGAUGGCAGAUUAGCUAGUUGGUGGGUAAAGGCCUACCAAGGCGACGAUCUGUAGCUGGUCUGAGAGGACGACCAGCCACACUGGGACUGAGACACGGCCCAGACUCCUACGGGAGGCAGCAGUGGGGAAUUUUGGACAAUGGGCGAAAGCCUGAUCCAGCAAUGCCGCGUGUGUGAUGAAGGCCUUCGGGUUGUAAAGCACUUUUGGCGGGAACGAAAAGGACUGUGCCAAUACCACGGUUCGAUGACGGUACCCGCAGAAUAAGCACCGGCUAACUACGUG
rnacentral:rRNA from 1 species